UUGACGGGCCCCGCACAAGCAGCGGAGCGUGUGGUUUAAUUCGAUGCUACACGAAGAACCUUACCAGGGUUUGACAUACAAGUAGUAGGGAAAGGAAACUGGACCGACCCUUCGGGAGCUUGAACAGGUGCUGCAUGGCUGUCGUCAGCUCGUGUCGUGAGAUGUUCGGUUAAGUCCGCUAACGAGCGCAACCCUCGCUGUGUGUUACAAGUGUCACACGGAACUGCCGGUCAUAAACCGGAGGAAGGUGGGGAUGACGUCAAGUCAGCAUGGCCUUUAUAUCCUGGGCUACACACACGCUACAAUGGGAAGGGACAAUAGGUUGCGAAACCGCGAGGUGGAGCCAAUCCAGCAAAACUUCCCUCAGUUCAGAUUGCAGGCUGCAACUCGCCUGCAUGAAGUUGGAGUUGCUAGUAAACGCAGGUCAGCCAUACUGCGUUGAAUACGUUCCCGGGGCUU
rnacentral:rRNA from 1 species